AGUGUGCACAUCUUGCGCAAAACAUACAAGGCCAGUUAAUGAACUGUAUACUAAAGCAGCGCCCUGGCUAACAUUCAUCUGAAAGCACUACCACCCCCCCAUCCCCCGAAGUGGGAGCCAUCAGUCUCACUCUGUGACAAUGGGGGGUUUAUAGCUUUCUUACUACAAUGACCACUGCAGCCGUCAGGUCCCCUACAAAUUCCACUCAUUUCAGCAGCCCAGCGAAAAAAAUCCUUACAGUGUACAGAACCAGGGCAGCAUAAGCCAACUUGUUUGCCUUGUGUGUUUACGGUUUCUCCAUCACGGUGGUGCUACUUCGCGGUUAUGGGGCCAUGGUGACCCAGGAGCUCGGGACAGAUGAAACAUGCCAGAACAUCAGGAAAGCGAGACUCGAUUUGUGCAAAGGGUGGAUUUUCGCUGAAAGGAUCUGCAUCACUGGUGCUCUCGGGGGUGGGUGGGACAAGUAAGGAAAUUGUUCUAAUUAAAUAAAGAAAAAUGCAAAUUAAGCCAAUUGCACCAAGAGAAGGAAAAUCGGGCUGUAUGCACGGAUGGUACGGCAAGCACAGAAAGCAGCUCUUCCUUGGCCUAUCUUCAGGCAAUUGGGAUCGUGAAUGAGGGCAGUGUUUCGGACUCGCAUGCCAACAUUCUCCACAGUCUACUUAACCCUCACAUGCAUGUGUACCUACACUUACUGCCAGUUCUGCCCUCCACAAAUAUUUAUGAUUAAUACUUAAUGUCUAAUUUUUGUUUUAUGUUAUGCCCUGGCUCUGUCUUAUUUAACUAGUCUGGGGCUACGAAUUGCACACUGUUCUCAGUAGAAUUAUGCACGAUAAACAAACCUUUGAAACUCUGAACUGAAAGUAAUUUUGUGGGUAUUCUGAAAACUUUGCCUACUAACUAGCCACCUAGCAUGAAGGAUACAUGGCGAACAGCCGCACUCUCGCUGUCUGAUCCUGGGAGAGCGAUAAGCUGUGGCAGGACACAAUACAGGCCCAUCCCCACCCGCUCAGAGUAACCUAUAUCUGCCAGUCAGUCAGGAAACGGUGCGCAAGUGACUCCCCCCCCGCCCCCAGCACGCUGCGUCACAGCUCCCGCUUGCCAUACCACAGAGAGGAACUGGGCCGGCCACAACUCCCAGUCAAACACCCACAGCUGCAGCCCUUCCAAAAACCACACCCCAUCCUCACUGCGUGACACAAUUCUAGCAAAUCAACAGAAUAGGAAAAUCUAUUUGGUGGGACAAAUCUAGUCAUAAUGCCUCAGGCUGGUUUUGACAACUAUUUCCCUUCCAUGUUUGUUGCCUUUAAUGCAGAGAUCCAGCAGAUGAUCACACAAGACAAAAUUUCCGGGUAAAAAAAAUGGGAACACAACAAGCCCCCCCCCCCGUCAUCGUUACCAAAGGGCAGCUGGCAGAGUUACAGGUGUACACAACCCCCCCCCACCUCCAUGGGGUCACAGCUGACCUGCGGUAGAACUGCGUUUGUGCGAGAGGAGUGACAACAGCAGGGGGCAGUGUGUUAAGACCAGGGGGUAAGAAAAAAUAAUGCAAGCAACUUGGGCGUGAACACAGCGAGCGUGCGAGGCCUUGUUAUGUAUACAGCCACACAACAUACACCACAAACUCAAUAAGCACCGCAACAGUUAAAGGGCCUGGCGGUCUAAGUACAGUCAGAACAGGACCCCCCGCCACCAACCAGGCUUCCCUGGCAUGGCUAAAGCCCACCAAGGUCCUUUGAGGAAUUUACACCGCAUAUUCACCCAGCCACACUUAAACACUACUUGGGUGCCUCCCCAGCUGUGCUCCUGUGAACAGAUCUAGGGGGGCAGGACUCACAAGUCACCCAGCCCUUGUCACACAUUCCUGCGCCCUGCACCGUUGCAACAUCUGGCCGCGCCUCAUUCCCAUAGGUGCCGUUGCCUCGCCGCCCCAAGCUCCCUCUGGAGCGGCGGUUACACCUGACGAGGCCGUCAUGUCGUAACGGGCCAAACUGGAGCGCGGAAGUCGCUAGCGACAAGGGCUCAGCACCGCAAUGGGCACGGCUGCAAGCCACAGGUGCGGUCAACUGCUCAGCCCUGCACCAAACAUCGGUCUGCAGUAGGUGUGGCCAAAAGGCAGAGUGAUCACAGAGUGUCACACUUAUACAGGAGCAAAUACCACAUGGGGGGGGGGGGGAAUUCAGGAGCUGUGAACACCAGAACACGUCAGGUUGGGAUUACUUUGAUUUUCUGGGGCGUGGAUAACACAUCCUAAUGUUCCCUUCUGCCGAUUCUGCGAAGUUCCAGUUGCUGGCCCUAGAAGGUCAUGCUGCAGCGAAGAACUAAAAGUGCAACAUGCUGCAUGCAAACAUCUAUGCAAACCAAGAGAACAGUAAAUACUGAAAUCAAAGGCAUUUUUCAACACCUAGGCAAUAAUGAGUAUUGCAGGCAAAAGGAUUCACGUCGCAAAACUUCAACCUGAGUGUUCAGAUUGAAGUCAAACUUUUUCUACGGAUCACAAAUGAGCCAAGAAAGCAGAGGAGUUGUUCAGAAGCUGUGUUUAUAUGUAAGCGCCCAGUUUCUAAUAUAAACACUUAAGUCAUACACCAAAGAAUGAAUACUUUAAAAAGAAGAUCCGAUGUCUAGCUACAGUCGCUUGCGCAGCCUUUGUACACCGAGCAGUUUAAGAUAAUUUAUUAACAUUAAGUUAAAAAGCAAAUGCACUGACAACGCUACGAACAAAGUAUGUGAAAAUCUGUUACUUUUACUUACCUAAUUUAAAAAUCGUUCGAACUUUUAAAUUUUAGUGAGAUCUCGAACACAUUCGGUGACUUUGGUCUGGGGCUCCUUAAGAACCGAACCUACCCGAGGGAACCCGGGUCCGUUCAGUGCGUCUCGCUCGGUGUCUCAGCGCUGGGAGCUCAAACCGAACCAGUGGGCUGAUGUUACUGGCUGGAGCGGUGCGGCCUGUGCGCAUGCGCCUUCGCGCUGCCAGCAGUCCGCUGCUUUGAGUUAAACGUGCCGCUCGGCUCUCGUCCGCUUUCCGCCACCACGCCUCUUCCCACCCCCCAGGGUUUCGGCUCUCAGAAUGAAAAGGUUGGGUCCAACAGGAAGUCAUUUCCGAGAUUCUGAUACGAAGGGCAGCAUUUUUUAAAAAGAGCAGAUGGGAUUCCUGUUGUGUCAGUUUAGUUUGCGUAGUUGAAAAGCUAACAUGUGGUGUGAGCGGCAUACGUACUGCUGGGCUGUGUCCCUUUAAAAGUCAUCUGGUUAAUAUUUAAUCUGAUUUGUUGCAUUAAUGUCAAUAGUGAAGCGUUAUUAUUUGCCUACGAUCGAAUGAAUACCUGCCUGUCCUUGUUUUGUUCUUCUGCACUCUGCAUUGUGUAAAGCUAUGUAGGUUAUUAAAUUAAUCAUUUUUCAUUUGAAAUGUCAGUUAACAAGCAAUGCAAAGUCACUACCAGACCAACUUUAAACCCUGUCUAAAUCAACCAGGAAUAAUAAAGUCCCACCAAACAUAAUCAUACAUUUAUAUAAAUAAAUUCAUCAGAAUAGAGUGGAUAUACGCAGUAAAGAAUGACAUCAGCCUCACGACGUUAGACGACACAAAACAACACAUGAAACAAUCAGGCCUGCGGUGUAUAUAUAGGUUCAUCACUGGAGACGGCACACCACUGCUAGAGCACUUUAAACUACAGCACUCUCAAUCCAUACACAACCAACACUACACGCCCUUAAUGCCUAAUCUUGUAUUUGAAAUCAAUGUAAGUGCUAUGCAGCAUACAGUAGGUGGACAAAACAGAGACCAGGCCUGCCAACUCUCACACAUCUGGCCUGACAUUUUACAGCAAAUCUGUAUUAUUCCAUUAUAAUACUAAAAUGAGCUACAUCAAAAGCAUUGGGGUAGUACAGACUAUUUACAAGGUAAUAAAACUGUUACAUGCAUGUAAAUGCGUGUGCAGACUUGUCUCGAAUUGAAAAUCUCACUCCAGCCAGCUGACCAAAGUUCUCCUAUAUUUAGGUAAUCCUGAGAAUCACCUAAAUAUAUUAAGGCAGAACAAAGAACAGGACCAUACUUUGCCUUCAGAACAGCUUUAGUCCUUCUUGAAAUGCUGUCAUAUGAGUCCUGGGUGUAUUGGAGCAUCAAGAUGUUCUCCAAGAAGAGAAGCCCCUGGUUCCUUGAGGGAUGGGGCAGUGCUUCAAGUUCCAGACAUGAAAUGAUGUUUAGAUCCCAGCAUUGGGGAUGGACGUGGAAGGAUGGUGCAAGGGAGGGUGAAGGGCUUAUUAUACAGCAAGAAUCAAAGAGAAUGCAGAAUGAACACCUGCUGGAGUACAAGGCAGAGAUACUUAAAUUAUUGUCGAUAAUAUUAUCGAUCUGGAUCAAUUUCCCAGGCAGCUCAGCACUGGAAGAGAAAUGUUGCAGUAGCUGCCCUGGUUCAGGCCCAUGACGAAAAACCACGGGCGUAUUUUUGGGCAUGAACCGAACGGAGACGUCUCUGUCCAAUAUGGUGGGAGUACCACAUGUGGGGGGGGGGGGGGGGAGAAGCCCCUUCCACUGCUGAAGCCAAACCUAUACUCUUGCCAGACACAAAUAAAUUUCAUAGGGCAUCCAACAUAGGUCCUCUGAGAAUACUGUUUGUCUAAGUGGGGGGCGGGGGGGCGGUCAACCCUGCAAUUUUACUGUGUGGCUACUUACCUGGCCAGAAAACAUGGGCAGACAGACUCGGUCAAGUUCCUCAUUUUUGAUGUAAGGAAACGCCAUGGAAACCAAAGACUUUUUAUCAGCGGAAAAUAUGGCUAAAAGACAAAAGAAUGAUCUUAUCAGGACUGACGUAAAAACUCGGUGCCCUGCGAUUACUGGUCACACACCGGAACCGUCUGUUCAGAUUCCAAACAAGUCACGGAAUUGACUACUUAAUAUCAGUGACAAGAGAAGCCCCAAGCAAUCGCAUGUUUUCAGUGGAAUGCAUCUGAAUAAUAAGCCACAGAGAGGUUCUAUCAAUCCCUGAAGUAAACCACCUUAAUAUGUCUAUUAAUACAUACAUCAUACAACUAUUUUUAAAUAGACUUAUUGUAAUGUAAAAUGCAAUGCUUUGUGACUGGUGCUAUAACAUCAGGCAUUCAUCUUGUCAUAAAUUUAUUUUGAAUUUA